CUGGACAUUUUACAUACCAGUGUCGUAACUUCCUGAAAGUGAAUCCUAACAAAGAUAUUGUAUUGGACAUAAGUAGCACAAGUUCUGAAACAGAUAGUGAUGAAGAAUUUAUCUCUCCUUUAUCAAAACUCAGAGAAAUGGAAGCAAAACAAACUUCAGCUGAAAAUACAUCUCAAGAUAAACAGGAAAAAAAGAAGCUGAAAAGG